rnacentral:rRNA from 2 species
UUUGAUGAGAGUUUGAUCCUGGCUCAGGAUGAACGCUGGCGGCGUGCCUAAUACAUGCAAGUAGAACGCUGAAGGAAGUGCUUGCAC